UUUCAGUAUCUCGUAGUGUCCCAGUCCAUUUAUUACUUUAAUAAGAUGCUUAGAAAAAACAACAACAAUAACAACAAAAUGUACCUAAUAAAAUUGUCCCAUUAGUCAGUGGAGUUCUCUAUUUCUCUCUCUUUAACACAAACCAGCUCUCUCUGUCCCCCCAUUGGUCUGUGAGAUGUCUAAUCAAUCCUCAUUGGCUGGUGAUUCCACACCACACCCUCUCCAUGGAGCAGCAGCCUGUUGCCAUAGCAACCUUGGGGGUCAGGGUUUAGAAGCGUGCCUCAGGUCAAGUGGGCGGUGACCUGUGAAGCCCCCCUCCCUGACGGGCUCACAGACAAUCCCAGCGUCCGAGAGUCAAAAAGGAAGUUGGCCUGCUGGUCUCCAUUGAGCGUGCACAGACUGUCCGUCAGGGUUCCACUGGGGGAGGAGCCAAGGAAAGGGUUCUGAUUGGCCACAGCAGCACAAGAAACCGCCAUCUUGUCUGGGUUGGCUGCGAUGUUAGUGGGGGGGUUGGCGUAACCAUAGAGACCGUAGUGGGGGGAAUGGAGGCAGAUACUACCGUAGCCCUGGCGGGGUGGAGGAUGCAGGUAGCCAAUCUGAGAGGGGGGUGAGGACAUGGAGCAGAAUACUUCACGGUCAUAAGCUGACGGUCUUCGCACCACAGGAAGGGGGAAGGGGGAAGCGGGGUUGACGUAGUGAUGGAGGGGGUGUGUGUGUGUGUGUGUUGGUCGGCUGCAGGUGUAGUCCAGGGGAGAAUGAGGGCACACCUUGAAUGGGGAGGAGCAAGGAGAAGAGGAGAGCAGGUGAGAUGGGACUCCAUGCGACCCCGGGACUCCUGCAGGGAGACAGACAGGGGUUAGAGACACCAGUAUCUUUAUAGACAGACAGGUGUUAGAGACACCAGUAUCAUUAUAGACAGACAGGGGGUUAGAGACACCAGUAUCAUUAUAGACAGACAGGUGUUAGAGACACCAGUAUCAUUAUAGACAGACAGGGGUUAGAGACACCAGUAUCAUUAUAGACAGACAGGGGGUUAGAGACACCAGUAUCAUUAUAGACAGACAGGGGUUAGAGACACCAGUAUCUUUAUAGACAGACAGGUGUUAGAGACACCAGUAUCAUUAUAGACAGACAGGGGGUUAGAGACACCAGUAUCAUUAUAGACAGACAGGUGUUAGAGACACCAGUAUAAUUAUAGACAGACAGGGGUUAGAGACACCAGUAUCAUUAUAGACAGACAGGGGUUAGAGACACCAGUAUCAUUAUAGACAGACAGGGGUUAGAGACACCAGUAUCAUUAUAGACAGAGAGGGGUUUAGAGACACCAGUAUCAUUAUAGACAGACAGGGGGUUAGAGACACCAGUAUCAUCAUAGACAGACAGGGGUUUAGAGACACCAGUAUCAUUAUAGACAGAGAGGGGUUUAGAGACACCAGUAUCAUUAUAGACAGACAGGGGUUUAGAGACACCAGUAUCAUAAAAGACAGACAGGGGGUUAGAGACACCAGUAUCAUUAUAUACAGACAGGGGGUUAGAGACACCAGUAUCAUUAUAGACAGGGGGUAAGAGACACCAGUAUCAUUAUAGACAGACAGGGGUUAGAGACACCAGUAUCAUUAUAGACAGACAGGGGUUAGAGACAUCAGUAUCAUUAUAGACAGACAGGGGUUAGAGACACCAGUAUAAUUAUAGACAUACAGGUGUUAGAGACACCAGUAUCAUUAUAGACAGACAGGGGUUAGAGACACCAGUAUCAUUAUAGACAGACAGGGGUUAGAGACACCAGUAUC
ensembl:lncRNA